rnacentral:rRNA from 1 species
AAUACAUGCAAGUCGGACGGGAUUUAACUUAAAGCUUGCUUUAAGUUAAUGAGAGUGGCGCACGGGUGCGUAACGCGUGAGCAACCUACCUCUAUCAGGGGGAUAGCCUCUCGAAAGAGAGAUUAACACCGCAUAACAUCAACAGUUCGCAUGUUCGGUUGAUUAAAUAUUUAUAGGAUAGAGAUGGGCUCGCGUGACAUUAGCUAGUUGGUAGGGUAACGGCUUACCAAGGCGACGAUGUCUAGGGGCUCUGAGAGGAGAAUCCCCCACACUGGUACUGAGACACGGACCAGACUCCUACGGGAGGCAGCAGUAAGGAAUAUUGGUCAAUGGGCGGAAGCCUGAACCAGCCAUGCCGCGUGCAGGAUGACUGCCCUAUGGGUUGUAAACUGCUUUUGUCCAGGAAUAAACCCAGAUACGAGUAUCUGGCUGAAUGUACUGGAAGAAUAAGGAUCGGCUAACUCCGUGCCAGCAGCCGCGGUAAUACGGAGGAUCCGAGCGUUAUCCGGAUUUAUUGGGUUUAAAGGGUGCGUAGGCGGCCUGUUAAGUCAGGGGUGAAAUACGGUGGCUCAACCAUCGCAGUGCCUUUGAUACUGACGGGCUUGAAUCCAUUUGAAGUGGGCGGAAUAAGACAAGUAGCGGUGAAAUGCAUAGAUAUGUCUUAGAACUCCGAUUGCGAAGGCAGCUCACUAAGCUGGUAUUGACGCUGAUGCACGAAAGCGUGGGGAUCGAACAGGAUUAGAUACCCUGGUAGUCCACGCCCUAAACGAUGAUAACUCGAUGUUGGCGAUAGACCGCCAGCGUCCAAGCG